AUUGAACGCUGGCGGCAUGCUCUACACAUGCGAGUCGAACGGUAACAGGCCGCAAGGUGCUGACGAGUGGCGAACGGGUGAGUAAUGCAUCGGAACGUGCCCAGUCGUGGGGGAUAACUACUCGAAAGAGUAGCUAAUACCGCAUACGAUCUAUGGAUGAAAGCGGGGGACCGUAAGGCCUCGCGCGAUUGGAGCGGCCGAUGUCAGAUUAGGUAGUUGGUGGGGUAAAGGCUCACCAAGCCAACGAUCUGUAGCUGGUCUGAGAGGACGACCAGCCACACUGGGACUGAGACACGGCCCAGACUCCUACGGGAGGCAGCAGUGGGGAAUUUUGGACAAUGGGCGCAAGCCUGAUCCAGCAAUGCCGCGUGCAGGAAGAAGGCCUUCGGGUUGUAAACUGCUUUUGUACGGAACGAAACGGCUCUGGUUAAUACCCGGGGCUAAUGACGGUACCGUAAGAAUAAGCACCGGCUAACUACGUG
rnacentral:rRNA from 1 species